rnacentral:rRNA from 1 species
AAACAAGUUACUAAGGGCACACGGUGAAUGCCUUGGUGCCAGUAGGCGAUGAAGGACGUGUUUAAGCUGCGAUAAGCCUCGGAGAGCUGCACUCAAGCUAUGACCCGGGGAUUUCCGAAUGGGGUAACCUGUAUUUAUUAAUAUGAAUACGUUCCUCCCUGAAUAUAUAGGGGAGGACACGCGAACCCGGUGAAGUGAAACAUCUCAGUAACCGGAGGAAAAGAAAGCGAAUGCGAUUCCGUAAGUAGUGGCGAGCGAAAGCGGAUCAGCCCAAACCAGGGGCUUUGCUCCUGGGGUUGUAGGGCCCGAUAGUGGUAUCCUAAGAGUUAGUCGAACGUGGUUGGAAAGCCACCCCAUAGAAGGUGAAAGGCCUGUAGGCGAAAACUUGAAGGAACCUAGGAUCACCCUGAGUAAUACGGAACACGUGAAACUCCGUAUGAAUCUGCGCCGACCAUGGCGUAAGGCUAAAUACUAACUGGCGACCGAUAGUGAACUAGUACCGUGAGGGAAAGGUGAAAAGUACCCCUUUGAGGGGAGUGAAAUAGUACCUGAAACCGUGUGCCUACAAGGAGUGGGAGCCUCUUCGGAGGUGACCGCGUGCCUUUUGCUUAAUGAGUCUACGAGUUAGUGUCUGUGGCAAGCUUAAGCACUUUUGGUGUGUAGGCGUAGCGAAAGCGAGUCCGAAUAGGGCGACCAUAGUCGCAGGCGCUAGACCCGAAACGGAGGUGACCUACCCAUGGCCAGGUUGAAGCAACGGUAAAACGUUGUGGAGGACCGAACCGGUACAGGUUGAAAACUGUUCGGAUGAGCUGUGGGUCGGAGUGAAAGGCUAAUCAAACCCCGUGAUAGCUGGUUCUCCUCGAAAUGCAUUUAGGUGCAGCGUCGCGUGCUUACCCUCGGGGGUAGAGCACUGAAUGAGCUAGGGCCCAUACCAGGGUACCAAACUCAACCAAACUCCGAAUACCGGGGGGUGGAACGCGGCAGUGAGACUGCGGGGGAUAAGCUUCGUAGUCGAAAGGGAAACAGCCCAGAUCAGCAGCUAAGGUGCCUAAAUAGUGCUCAGUGGAAAGGAGGUGGGAUUUCAUAGACAGUGAGGAUGUUGGCUUAGAAGCAGCCACCAUUUAAACAAAGCGUAACAGCUGACUCAUCGAGAGAUCCUGCGCCGAAAAUGAUUGGCGAUAAGCACUAUACCGAAGCUCUGGAUGCACAGUUUACUGUGCGUGGUAGAGGAGCGUUCUCAACACAUUGAAGCCUUAAGGCGACUGAUGGUGGAGAGUUGAGAAGUGAGUAUGUAGACAUGAGUAACGAUAAGCCGGGUGAGAUCCCCGGCCGCCGUAAACCCGAGGUUUCCUGGGCCAUGCUGGUCAUCCCAGGGUUAGUCGGGACCUAAGCCGAGGCCGAAGGGCGUAGGCGAUGGAAAGCUGGUUAAUAUUCCAGCACGGCCUAUAAUUUAAACUAGAAGGACGCAUAUUGAAUAAAGACUAAGUUAUUGAAUUAUUCUGAGGCGAGGGUUUAUCCCGGACCGUAUCUUUUGAAGAUGUGCCAAGAAAAGUUCUAGUGUAUAGAAAUAGGCCCCCGUACCGUAAACCGACACAGGUGGGUGGGUAGAAUAUACUAAGGCGCAAGAGUGAAACCCUGUUAAGGAACUCGGCAAUUUAGCCCCGUAACUUCGGGAGAAGGGGUCCCGGGACUUGUCCCGGGCGCAGUGAAAGGGCCCAUCCGACUGUUUAGCAAAAACACAGCAUUCUGCGAACACGAAAGUGGAAGUAUAGGAUGUGACACGUGACCAAUGCCAAAAGAUUAAGGGGAGGUGUUAGCUUCGGCGAAGCUCUGAUCCUAAGUCCUGGUGAAUGUCGGCCGUAACUAUAACGGUCCUAAGGUAGCGAAAUUCCUUGUCGGGUAAGUUCCGACCUGCACGAAUCGUGCAACGAGAUGGGCGCUGUCUCAACAGGGAGCUCAGUGAAAUUGUAUCCGCGGUGAAGAUGCCGCGUACCCGCAGAAGGACGGAAAGACCCUAUAGACCUUAACUGUAAGCUGUCACUGUUUUCUCGAUUUUAAUGCUCAGCAUAAGUGGGAGGCUUUGAACUGACCCUUUAGGGGGUCGGGGAGCCAACAGUGAGAUACCACCCUUUAAUGUUGGGAAAUCUAACCUCUUGCCUUUAUCAGGCAGAGGAACAAUGGCAGCCGGUCAGUUUGACUGGGGCGGUCUCCUCCUAAAGAGUAACGGAGGAGCGCGAAGGUAGGCUCAGCGCGGUUGGCAAUCGCGUUUCGAGUGCAUUGGCAUAAGCCUGCCUAACUGCGAGACUUACAAGUCGAGCAGAGACGAAAGUCGGCCAAAGUGAUCCGGCGGUGGAAAAUGGAAUCGCCGUCGCUCAUCGGAUAAAAGGUACCUUAGGGAUAACAGGCUGAUCGCGCCCAAGAGUUCAUAUCGACGGCGCGGUUUGGCACCUCGAUGUCGGCUCGUCACAUCCUGGGGCUGGAGAAGGUCCCAAGGGUUCGGCUGUUCGCCGAUUAAAGUGGCACGCGAGCUGGGUUCAGAACGUCGCGAGACAGUUCGGUCCUCUAUCCUCUGUGGGCGUAGGAAACUUGAGGGGUUCAAACUCUAGUACGAGAGGACCGAGUUUGACGAGCCUCUGGUGCUCCGGUUGUCGCGUCAGCGGCAUAGCCGGGUAGCUAAGCUCGGAACAGAUAAGCGCUGAAAGCAUCUAAGCGCCAAGCUAUUCCCAAGAUAAAGUUUCCCUGAAGGAUCGUGGAAGACUACCACGUUGAUAGGCUGCUGGUGUAAUCAUGGCAACAUGUUUAGCUUAGCAGUACUAAUAAUCCGUCCGACUUGUUUCA